GAUGAACGCUGGCGGCGUGCCUAAUACAUGCAAGUCGAGCGAACAGAUGAGGAGCUUGCUCCUCUGACGUUAGCGGCGGACGGGUGAGUAACACGUGGAUAACCUACCUAUAAGACUGGGAUAACUUCGGGAAACCGGAGCUAAUACCGGAUAAUAUAUUGAACCGCAUGGUUCAAUAGUGAAAGACGGUUUUGCUGUCACUUAUAGAUGGAUCCGCGCCGCAUUAGCUAGUUGGUAAGGUAACGGCUUACCAAGGCAACGAUGCGUAGCCGACCUGAGAGGGGGAUCGGCCACACUGGAACUGAGACACGGUCCAGACUCCUACGGGAGGCAGCAGUAGGGAAUCUUCCGCAAUGGGCGAAAGCCUGACGGAGCAACGCCGCGUGAGUGAUGAAGGUCUUCGGAUCGUAAAACUCUGUUAUUAGGGAAGAACAAAUGUGUAAGUAACUAUGCACGUCUUGACGGUACCUAAUCAGAAAGCCACGGCUAACUACGU
rnacentral:rRNA from 1 species